CCUACGGGAGGCAGCAGUGAGGAAUAUUGGUCAAUGGGCGGGAGCCUGAACCAGCCAAGUCGCGUGAGGGAAGACGGUCCUAUGGAUUGUACACCUCUUUAGGCGGGGAGCAAUGCCGGGCACGCGUGCCCGGAGGGAGAGUACCCGCAGAAUAAGCAUCGGCUAACUCCGUGCCAGCAGCCGCGGUAAUACGGAGGAUGCGAGCGUUAUCCGGAUUUAUUGGGUUUAAAGGGUGUGUAGGCGGAUUUUUAAGUCAGCGGUAAAAUGUCCGGGCUCAACCCGGGCCGGCCGUUGAAACUGGGGAUUUUGAGUGGGCGAGAAGUAUGCGGAAUGCGUGGUGUAGCGGUGAAAUGCAGAGAUAUCACGCAGAACUCAGAUUGCGAAGGAAGCAUACCGGCGCCCGACUGACGCUGAGGGACGAAAGCGUGGGGAUCGAACAGGAUUAGAUACCCCAGUAGUC
rnacentral:rRNA from 1 species